AGGAGAGGCGGAGGAAAAGAACAAGCCCACAGCGGGAGGAGCCAGUGCGGGGAGAUACUCCCAAAGAGAGCCCUGGAAAAGAGAAGAAGAAUCCGAUGAGGAGGUGACCUUGGAAAAACAGCCAGGUAACAGCCCAGAUGCAAAUCCAACUGAAAAUCUUUUGGAUAUUAUAAAGAAAAAACUCAAGAAGACAAUCACCAACAAAACUGGCCUCAUAGAAGAACUUUUCUGAAAAUGGCAGACAUUAUAAGAAACUGUGAACAGCAUGAACAGCAUGCCAAACUGUAUCAAAAUGAUUAUAAACAACAAAGGAUUUCAUACAAGGUACUAAUAGUUAUAAACAGUGUGUCAA